UCUGACCUGACGUCAUGUGUGACCAUGGAGUCCAUCUCCCACGGACGUGAGCUGAGGGAGCAGAAGCCAGAUUGUGUGCCCUUCCCCACACGAAGAGCCUCAGGCAGACAUUGCCAAUUCACCUUUCCGGAGUUGUCUUCUGUUCCGCGUGGGGAGAAGAUGAUCGAGGGGGCUGCUGGGAGCAUAGGGGAGGCACCUUGUGCCCACACACAUCUGCAGAUGAACUCUUGGGGUCAUGCGGAGUGAGUCCUAACUGUGUACGGCUUUAGAGGGCGUCUCCAACUCAACCAACUGCUCAGUGCUCAGAGCAGUCUUAUCUCAUGGAUACAUCAUGACAGAUGCCAAUGGCAAUGUAAUCAUCAGAAAGUAUUCUUUAAAUUUCUUGAAGCAAGCAACCAGAAAUAUUAAAGAUAAGCCUAAAUAUAAGGCAGCCCUCUGUAACCCACCCACAUGACACUGGUGUAGGUUUGCACACGCCUUGC
rnacentral:lncRNA from 1 species